UGGCUCUCGCAUCGAUGAAGAACGCAGCGAAAUGCGAUAAGUAAUGUGAAUUGCAGAAUUCAGUGAAUCAUCGAAUCUUUGAACGCAACUUGCGCUCUCUGGUAUUCCGGAGAGCAUGCCUGUUUGAGUGUCAUGAAAUCUCAACCAUUAGGGUUUCUUAAUGGCUUGGAUUUGGAGGUUGCCAUUCUGAAUGGCUCCUCUCAAAAGAGUUAGCGAGUUUAACUAUUGCUAUCUGGCGUAAUAAGUUUCGCUGGAAUGGUAUUGUGAAGCGCGCUUCUAAUCGUCUUCGGACAAUUACUUUGACUCUGGCCUCAAAUCAGGUAGGACUACCCGCUGA
rnacentral:misc_RNA from 1 species